ensembl:lncRNA
GCUCUUGGGGGGGGGGGCGGUCUCGGCUGCUUAAUAUACUGGACAGGUUGUGGAAAUGGGUUGACACGUAUGGCUGUACUGAGUUGGUGUACCGUUAGUUUCAUUCGGAUUACACGCUGUUUAAAAUGUACAGUAGACCAGCUCACCAAAAUAGUAAGCUGUCCUUCACAACAGCCAUUGCACCUGCCCGUCCGAUGCGCCCUACCACUGCGGUAGUCCCUCCUGGCUGACUGGGGUGAAGGCCUACAGGAGGUGCCUGCGUAUUUGUGCAUGUAUGUGUGUGUGUGUUUUUCUGAGAUAGGGUCCAAUCAAUGGUGAGUGGAGCCCCAGAGUCGUGAGAGCCAGACAAACUCCCAGACGCAUGCAUGAAUUCCAUGGACACACAACAAGUCAGCCCCCCUCCCCCGGCCAUCAGAUCACGGGCGUUAAUUACACCCUGAUAGGGCCACGGAGGCAGAGGAAGACCACGGUGAUGGGAGGAAGGCUAUAGGGGACGAAGACUGUUGGUGAUGACAAAUUAUGCUGACGAAGACGAUGGGGAGGAAGAACAUGGGGAUGAGGACUAUGAUGAUGAGGAUUCUGGUGAUCAAGACGAGGACACAGUGACCUUCCAGAUCAAUGGAGUCCUAACGCUUGGAUAGUUUGGUGUUAAUGUUUGGAAUAAUGUAAAGCACCAUAUGUCACUCCUUUCAAAUUACAUUUAUAAUGUGUCUUUUAAUUUGGCAUCUCUUGAAGCACAAGACUUUGAAGACUUAUACAUAAUAGCCUACAUAUAUAAUAUCUUAUAUUUAUAUAUACAGAUAUACAGUAGAUAUAGAAACCUAUAUAUUUAUAGAUAAAAUACACAUAAACCUGAUUACACUCAACACAUUUCACAUCCGUAAGUCGUCCGUAACGCCUCCCAACACGCCCACGACGGAACAUACAUCCAUGGAUCAGCAAAUACUUCAUUCAUACAUCACAACACAACUGUGUAUGUUGUGUUGUGUGCUGUUGAACAAGAUGAAUCGCGUGUACUUUGCCCCCUGGUUGUGUGUGCUUGUGCGGCAUUGAAGUGGUGCGCAGAGGGAAGCCUUCGCCCCGAGGGCCCUCACUGGCCAGAACAAAAGCGCGCAGCGUGCACGUGGUCGGCC